rnacentral:rRNA from 1 species
CUUAUAUGGAGAGUUUGAUCCUGGCUCAGGACGAACGCUGGCGGCGUGCCUAAUACAUGCAAGUCGA